rnacentral:lncRNA from 1 species
AGCAUUCAUAAAACCAAAGACAUCGAACGUAACGCACUUAUUUCACAAAUACACGAUUAUACAUAAAAAUUGAGAGAAAAGAGAGAGAAUCACCUGAAUUGAUAGAAAUUCUGUUAAUUUACAAAAAAGUUAAAUUCUCCCCUCUCUGUUUUUUUGUUUCCCUUUUUUCUAUUUUCCUGAGUUAAUUAUUUUGGUGAGGAUGGAGAAGAUACUUGUUUUGAGGCACUAAGGUAUACGUGAAGCAAGAAACAUCAAGUUUUAAGUGUGCACGUGCCUAGCGAGAUGCGG